CUUGAACGCUGGCUGCAGGCCUAACACAUGCAAGUCGAACGAGUGGCGGACGGGUGAGUAAUGUCUGGAAAACUGCCCGAUGGAGGGGGAUAAAUCCUGGAAACGGUAGCUAAUACCGCAUACCAUCGGAGGUGCCCAGAUGGGAUGAGCUAGUAGGUGGGGUAAAGGCUCACCUAGGCUACCUUCCAUAGCUGGUCUGAGAGGAUGACCAGCAACACUGGAACUGAGACACGGUCCAGACUCCUCCGGUAGGCAGCAGUGGGGAAUAUUGCACAAGGGGCGCAAGCCUGAUGCAGCCAUGCAGCGUGUAUGAAGAAGGCCGUCGGGUUGUAGAGUUCUUUCAGCGAGGAGGCGUUACUCGCAGAAGAAGCACCGGCUAAGUCCGUGCUAGCAGCCGCGGUAAUUC
rnacentral:rRNA from 1 species